ensembl:lncRNA
UUCUUAAGCACUGUGCAGGUUAAGCAGAAUACGUCUGCCGCCGGAUGGGCCCACAUCUGUUGCAGUGCCUUUGGUUUCAUGCCGACCUCCCCAGGGCUGUGAUGUCUGCCUCCCCUCACCGUGUACCUGGAGGAGGAGGGACGCCAGUAAGGAAGGAAGGUGGCUGGGGAGAGAGGGAAAGUGGAAGGCCUGUGCAGCCGGGUGGCAAGUUCUCCCACUCAGAACAUUGAUCAGCCGACCCGCGUGAUAUAUUGAGUUCGUUUCCACAGGUGAUGUAUCUAAUCCGACUGGGAGCCCAUCGAAUCCAGAGGUGACGUGUUUGAUUCACGGGCUGAUGUACCUGAUUUAGAAGUGAUGGAUCUAGUCCAUGCUGAAGGAUUCCAAUUCCCCCACACCGGAUGUUUGCUUCAGUGUGUGAUGUAUCAGUUUUAAUAAUAAGACACGCUUUGGGGACAAUGAGGGUACCGGCUCCUCCACACCUGGCACGUCUGUGGCUAUAGCCCACUUCCUACAGAGCUGGUCUCAGCCUCGUGGAUCAGAGGGACAACAUCGGGGCAAAACCUAGUUUCCCAAGUGCGAGCUGAGCCUCCCCAUGCUGUGCCACCGCCACCCUUCUGAGAUCCAUAUCUGGUCUUUUGUCUGUUUAAUUGUCCAGGGGUCCACAGCACGGCCAUCAUGCUUAGGACCUGGUUCCUUGCAUGUGAGGGGACACCCUAGGCAAUUAGGAGAUGCUCACCUGUGUAGACUCUGCUCUCGGCGGCCGGAGGUUCCUGGAGCCUCACCUGACACUUCGUGGGGUCCCCGUGCAGUUUUCCCAGGCUGGGCACAGAGCUUUCAAAGAACGUUUGAGGGACUGGAUUUUCACAUCCCAGCUGGGGAGAGAGGGAAACCACCUUUCUUCCCCUUCCCCUUCCCACCUCCCUCCCCCAGUGACUGGCAACCUCAUCCUCCCAAGAGUCAAGAUGUCCUGUUCCUAUCCUCCCCUCUGCCCAGGAUGCCCCUCCC